rnacentral:sRNA from 1 species
CAGUGGUGUACAAACGAAAUGAAUGUU